UGGUGGUGGGUUCAGAUCCUUGGAGUAUCCUAAGAAGCCAACAGCUCUAUAAGUAAUAGAAAAGGAAAUACCACAGAGUGAAAGCCUAAACAUGAAGGCAUCCAGAACAGGCUCCUGUGGAUGRUGCAAUGGAUAUGAGACCACAAAGAAACACCAACUGCUGCACAACUAGAGAUUUUUUUUUUCUCAGAGAAUUCUUCUAAUCAAGAAUUUUCAAGAGCAACAAAUAGAAUUCGGAGAGAAACUUGGGCACCUCUAGGGGAAAAAGAAAGGUGCCUCAUACAUCAUUGGGGCAAAAGCUGACAGAUGGAAUUAAAAGCCUCUCCUGAAUAUCUCAUCUAAGUAUACAACAUUCAAAAGAGACUUCAUCACCCACAAAGAUAUUCUAACCAUUGCACUUCRUUAUCCCUGGCCAUCGCUUAACAAUAUUACAUUGCCUUUCUUUGUACAGUGCAUCUGAGAUUCCUCACAAAUGGGGAAAGCAGAUGAAAGCAACUGCACGUAGGUAUUGCCUAGAUAAGGACAAUAAGAUGGGCUUAUUUCACUUAAUAGAAUGCCAGCUUAUCAAAUGGUGAAGAAUUCAGGAACUUCGUGGCUAGAUCUGAUUUUGGAAACGUUAUCCCUCUUUCAAAAAGCUGCUUGAAUGUGCUGAGAAAUAUUUAUUCAUUAUGAAGAGAAGGAAUAAUUCCUUUUUUCUUCCUUCCUCCCCCACUUCACCCCCAUCCACAGAUCCACAUGCACCCAAACAAUUUUAGACAAAAUUUGGACCUAAUUCUCCAAACAAAGCAUACUUGAUAGCAGAGGCCAGGCCAGAUUCAAGCUAAAUUUGUAAAAGGAGCUCCUCGGAUGAACACUGCUAUCUGACUGCAAAAGAUUAUAAUGAAUAACAAAUGUGCCAAGGUUUUURAUGAGAGAAAUGAGUAGGCUUUUUAUGGACUACUCUGUCUGCAGCAAGUGGUUCCUGUUCCAGAGAGGAGAGGACAUGGAACUUGGGGCUUGCGUUUUCCCUGGCUGCACUUCAGUCUUGAAAAAGUUUAGGGUGACCCUGAUCUAAUUCAGUAAGUAUGAAAUUAGAUUGAUGCCCUUGGUUCUGGCAGCCUGUGAAUUUGGCCCUGYGUUGGGGAAAGCAGGAAUGCUGCUGGUACCCUGACCUUGGGCAGGGUGCCCUGGUACCUGUGGGGCAGGAUUUCUCAAAAACCUGGCURAUCUUUGGAAAAAAAAAUUAUUUUUGUGCAGCCCGUGAUUAAUAUAAUACUGACAAGAUGCUGGUUUGCCUACCUCUGCUAUUKGUGUAUUAAAUUUAUGAGUGCCUCUCUGAAGAUGGAUUGCUUUGGAAAUGAGCAUCCUUAAAGCAGCACUUGGUAUCUAUUGCAUGGAUUUUAUA